rnacentral:rRNA from 1 species
GUGGGGAAUUUUGGACAAUGGGCGCAAGCCUGAUCCAGCAAUGCCGCGUGCAGGAAGAAGGCCUUCGGGUUGUAAACUGCUUUUGUACGGAACGAAACGGUCCUGGUUAAUACCCGGGGCUAAUGACGGUACCGUAAGAAUAAGCACCGGCUAACUACGUGCCAGCAGCCGCGGUAAUACGUAGGGUGCAAGCGUUAAUCGGAAUUACUGGGCGUAAAGCGUGCGCAGGCGGUGCUGUAAGACAGGCGUGAACUCCCCGGGCUUAACCUGGGAAUUGCGCUUGUGACUGCAGUGCUGGAGUGCGGCAGAGGGGGAUGGAAUUCCGCGUGUAGCAGUGAAAUGCGUAGAUAUGCGGAGGAACACCGAUGGCGAAGGCAAUCCCCUGGGCCUGCACUGACGCUCAUGCACGAAAGCGUGGGGAGCAAACAGGAUUAGAUACCCUUGUAGUCC